rnacentral:rRNA from 1 species
UAGUAGUCAUACGCUUAUUUCAAAGAUUAAGCCAUGCAUGUGUAAGUGUAAAUAUACUAGUUUGGAACUGCGAAUGGCUCAUUAUAUCAGUUAUAGUUUAUUUGGUGAAGUGUACUACUUGGAUAACCGUAGUAAUUCUAGGGCUAAUACAUGAGAAAGUCCUCUGGUGAGGUGUGUUUAUUAGAAUGAAAACCAUAUGCUUCGGCAUGAUAGUGAGUAAUAGUAACCUAUCGUAUCGCAUGCUUAAUGUAGCGAUGAGUCUUUCAAGUUUCUCCCCUAUUCAGCUUUCGAUGGUGGUAUAUGGGCCUACCAUGGCAGAAAAAGGGUAACGAAUAA